GUAGUAAGUGAUUUGCGGGUAAAUGCAGACAGAGGCCAUUUAUCUGUUCUUAUCCUCUUAGAUCUGAGUGCCGCAUUUGACACCAUUGAUCAUAAUAUUCUUAGAAAUCGCCUUAGUCAAUGGGUGGGCCUCUCUGGCAGCGUCUUAAAUUAGUUUGAAUCCUACCUGGCAGGGAGAAAAUUCUUUGUUAGUUGUGGUAAUUACAACUCAAAGACACAUGAUAUCCUAUAUGGUGUUCCACAAGGCUCUAUCCUGGGUCCGCUGCUCUUCUCAAUCUACAUGCUUCCAUUAGGUCAGAUUAUCUCAGGGCACAACGUGAGCUACCACAGCUAUGCUGAUGACACACAGCUGUAUUUAUCAAUAGCACCUGAUGACCCCGAUUCUAUUGA